CGCGUAGGCGGUCUACCAAGUGUCGAGUGAAAGCCCCCGGCUUAACCGGGGAAGGGCUUGGCAAACUGGUAAACUCGAGUGCUGGAGGGGGAUGCGGAAUUCCCGGUGGAGCGGUGAAAUGCGUAGAGAUCAGGAAGAACGUCGGUGGCGAAGGCGGCAUCCUGGACAGACACUGACGCUGAGGUGCGAGAGCGUGGGGAGCGAACG
rnacentral:rRNA from 1 species